rnacentral:rRNA from 1 species
UACGGAAGGCAGUAGUGGGGAAUAUUGCACAAUGGGCGCAAGCCUGAUGCAGCCAUGCCGCGUGUAUGAAGAAGGCCUUCGGGUUGUAAAGUACUUUCAGUCGUGAGGAAGGUGUUAAGGUUAAUAACCUUAGCAAUUGACGUUAGCGACAGAAGAAGCACCGGCUAACUCCGUGCCAGCAGCCGCGGUAAUACGGAGGGUGCGAGCGUUAAUCGGAAUUACUGGGCGUAAAGGGCACGCAGGCGGUUAAUUAAGUUGGAUGUGAAAUCCCCGGGCUUAACCUGGGAAUGGCAUUCAAGACUGGUUAGCUAGAGUCUUGUAGAGGGGGUUAGAAUUCCAUGUGUAGCGGUGAAAUGCGUAGAGAUGUGGAGGAAUACCGGUGGCGAAGGCGGCCCCUGGACAAAGACUGACGCUCAUGUGCGAAAGCGUGGGGAGCAAACAGGGAUUAGAUACCCGU